rnacentral:rRNA from 1 species
GACGAACGCUGGCGGCGUGCUUAACACAUGCAAGUCGAACGGAACGCCCCUUCUGUUUUCCUUUGCUCCAGUGUCGAACGUGUGUGUAAGACGGGAGUGUGCUUAACUUGACUUUGGCCUACCUUCAGGAAGCUGAGGAUAAUACCGGACAGCUGCUCCUGCUGCAUAGUCGGGGUUGGACGGUUUCGGCAGUGGGGGAUGGUCUCGCGGCAUAUCAGCUUCUUGGUUUGGUAGGGGCUUACCAAGGCUUUGACGGGUAGCAGGCCUGAGAGGCGGACCGGCCACACUGGGACUGGGAUGCGGCACAGACUCCUACGGGACGCAGGAGUGGAGAAUAGUGCACAAUGGGAGGAAGGCUGAUGUAACGACGCCGCGUGGGGGAUGACGGCAUGCGGGUUGGAAACCGCUUCCGCCUGUGAAGAAGAGUGAGUGACGGUAAUGGGUAAAGAAGCACCGGCUAACUACGUG